CAACUCGCCUGCAUGAAGUCGGAAUUGCUAGUAAUCGCAGAUCAGCAUGCUGUGGUGAAUACGUUCCCGGGCCUUGUACACACCGCCCGUCACACCAUGGGAGUCGGUAACACCCAAAGUUGGUAGUCUAACCGCAAGGAGGACGCCGCCUAAGGUGGGAUUGAUGACUGGGGUGAAGUCGUAACAAGGUAAC
rnacentral:rRNA from 1 species